GCCGUUCCCUGCAGCUAGAGAACCAGUGAAAUAAUUAAUAUAUGUCCCUCUUCCCUCCUCCUAUAAAUACACCCUCUUUCCUUACUUUUCUAGCUCACCCACCAUUUCAAAUUCAUACACUACUAUACAGCUACCGAUCUGUCAGCUGCUUGCUUAGGUUUAAUUUUGAUCUUGAAGGAGCUAGCCUUUGAUUUUGUUUAUAUCAGAGUAGGGUAGAAUCUGUAAAGCUCAGGAGGGAUAGCGCCAUGAAGAACAAAGGGUCUUAAUUGUAAUUUGUUAUUCAUUGGCGCUAUCCAUCCUGGGUUUCAUCGCUUCUUCUUACUAUCUCAUUCUCAUCGCAGCUGGUGCAGUAUUCUCUCAACUCCUGGAAACCCGAUCUAGCUUCGCUGUCUGCAGUUCAAGCUUCGCCGCUUUUUCAAUAAUGAAGUUUGGAGAGGUCAGUCAC